ACGCUCGACACCUACGGGAGGAGCAGUGGGGAAUAUUGCACAAUGGGGGAAACCCUGAUGCAGCGACGCCGCGUGGAGGAAGAAGGUCUUCGGAUUGUAAACUCCUGUUGUUAGGGAAAAAGAGGAUGGUACCCAACAAGGAAGUGACGGCUAACUACGUGCCAGUAGCCGCGGUAAUCUGAGCGGGCUGGCAAGGC
rnacentral:rRNA from 1 species